rnacentral:tRNA from 1 species
GCCCGAGUGGCGGAAUGGUAUACGCAGGGGACUCAAAAUCCCCCGGGGGCAACCCCGUGAGAGUUCGACUCUCUCCUCGGGCA